UGACAGCGUUCAGCUUGCCCUGGCACUUUCUAAUCAAAGAGAUGAUUUUUAUUUACUCUUUGAUUGUAAAGGGCUAUAUCGGGACGAACGCAUUGC
rnacentral:pre_miRNA from 1 species